UACAGAGGUCUCAAACGUUGUUCGGAUUCAUUGGGCGUAAAGGGUGCGUAGGCGGCGCGGUAAGUCGGGUGUGAAAUUUCGAGGCUUAACUUCGAAACUGCAUUCGAUACUGCCGUGCUUGAGGACUGGAGAGGAGACUGGAAUUUACGGUGUAGCGGUGAAAUGCGUAGAUAUCGUAAGGAAGACCAGUGGCGAAGGCGGGUCUCUGGACAGUUCCUGACGCUGAGGCACGAAGGCCAGGGGAGCAAACGGG
rnacentral:rRNA from 1 species